AGAGUUUGAUCCUGGCUCAGGAUGAACGCUGGCGGCGUGCUUAAUACAUGCAAGUCGAACGGAGAUUGUAGCAAUACAAUCUUAGUGGCGAACGGGUGAGUAACGCGUUGGUGACCCCCCCAAAGAGAGGGAUAACAGUCCGAAAGGAUUGCUAAUACCUCAUACGGUUACCGGGUUUAGAAGCCGGCAACUAAAGGCGUAAGCCACUUUGGGAGGGACCUGCGUCCCAUCAGCUAGUUGGUGAGGUAACGGCCCACCAAGGCGAUGACGGGUAGGGGACCUGAGAGGGUGGCCCCCCACAAUGGUACUGAAACACGGACCAUACACCUACGGGUGGCAGCAGUAGGGAAUAUUAGUUAAUGUGCGAAAGCGCGAACUAGCAACGCCGCGCGUGCGAUGAAGGCCUUCGGGUCGUAAAGCACUUUUCUAAGGGAUGAGGAAGGACAGUACCUUAGGAAUAAGCCUCGGCUAACUACGUGCCAGCAGCCGCGGUAAAACGUAGGAGGCAAGCGUUAUCCGGAUUUACUGGGCGUAAAGCGCGUGCAGGCGGUUUGGAAAGUUGGAUGUGAAAGCUCCUGGCUUAACUGGGAGAGGUCGUUCAAUACUACCAGACUUGAGGAUAGUAGAGGGAGAUGGUAUUCCGGGUGUAGUGGUGAAAUGCGUAGAUAUCCGGAGGAACACCAGUGGCGAAAGCGGUCUCCUGGACUAUUUCUGACGCUCAGACGCGAAAGCUAGGGUAGCAAACGGGAUUAGAGACCCCGGUAGUCCUAGCUGUAAACGAUGUAGACUUGGCGUCGGUGGGUUUAAAUCCAUCGGUGUCGAAGCUAACGCGAUAAGUCUACCGCCUGGGGACUACGGCCGCAAGGUUAAAACUCAAAGGAAUUGACGGGGGCCCGCACAAGCAGCGGAGCGUGUGGUUUAAUUCGAUUUACACGAAGAACCUUACCAGGGUUUGACAUGCUGGUGGUAGUGAUUCGAAAGAUGAACGACCCUUCGGGGAGCCAGCACAGGUGCUGCAUGGCUGUCGUCAGCUCGUGUCGUGAGAUGUUCGGUUAAGUCCGCUAACGAGCGCAACCCUCCCUGUGUGUUAUAUGUGUCACACGGUACUGCCGGUCUUAAGCCGGAGGAAGGUGGGGAUGACGUCAAGUCAGCAUGGCCUUUAUAUCCUGGGCUACACACACGCUACAAUGGCCAGAACAAUAGGUUGCUAAGCCGCGAGGUGGAGCCAAUCCCCAAAUCUGGUCUCAGUUCAGAUUGUAGGCUGCAACUCGCCUGCAUGAAGAUGGAGUUGCUAGUAACCGCAGGUCAGCUAUACUGCGGUGAAUACGUUCCCGGGCCUUGUACACACCGCCCGUCACGUCAUGGGAGCUGGCAACACCUGAAGCCGGUAUCCUAACCGAAAGGAAGGAGCCGUCGAAGGUGGGGUUGGUGACUGGGACGAAGUCGUAACAAGGUA
rnacentral:rRNA from 1 species